UAGUUUAUAAAGAAAUAAAGAAGAAUACACUGAAAUAGAAUUACUCACCAAUUUCAUAUUUGGUUCAUCUUCUUCAUCUUGAAGAACUUAGAUGUCAACUGAAGACAAAUUACUAAAUUCAUAGUUAAACUCGAUGUGUUUUACAUAAAAUAGUUGAGUUAUUUUGGAGAAAUAUUGAUGUGGCGAACGUGGGCAAUCUUGUGCCAAUCCUCUCCGACAUCGGCUUUCCAGCUGUGGGCAUCCAGUGAUAGUUAUCUCUUUUAGAUUUGGAAUCGACACAAGCUUUGGGCAGUCUACAACAACGAGUGUAUUAAGAGAUGGUAGCUGAUCUGGGAGUGAUUCAAUCUCGGGACAAGUGAGCUGCUGAAAGGCUUGAGGCAAGCGCGUCAUCUUGGGAAGAUCAUGUAACACAAGCCAAUCAAGAUUAUCUCUACAAACUCUUGCCAAUCCCAUAUCUGGAGGAAUUCCAGAGCAGUAAGAUUCCCCAACAUCCCUUCUGAGAUCGGAGCUUACGGAACUUUUCCAUUGGGAAACAUGUCAGGCUCUCCUCAAUAUCCACUUCCAGAUUAAUAGGAAUGUCCUCCUCACAUAAUAAGCCCAAAGUUGAGCUACUUCACCUUAGUGACUCCAACUUUUGAAAGGAUGAGAGUGUUGGCAGUAUUAAUGAAGAGCAAUGCUUAAUCCAUAAAAUUUGGAGAUUUGGGAAUGCUUCUUUACUACUCUCUUGCUUCUUUGAGAGUCCCUUAAGAUUUGAGAGAUCAAUUAAAUACAGUAUUUUCAAAGCCACCAACUGUAUCUUUACUGGGUGUCCACUUCCAACUUCUUCUUCUUCUUCAAUAAUAUACUCCACCUUCACGUUCGUUAAA